AGGGCUCGAACCUGCGUCUCCUGCAUUGGCAGGCAGAUGCUUCACCACCAAACCUCCUGGGGAAGCCUGACCAUGCUUCAUGGGAUGAAUGUUUUCAGCCCCUAGAGACAUGUGCCUGAGAGAACCGCCAACACGUGGGCACAAGAACUCACACAGGAAGGUCCACAGAUGCGCUCUUCAUGUAUGGAAGAUAAAACAGAUGGGCUUCAGACGAGAAGUGAAACCCUCCACCUUUGCACACCUGAAGUGAGAAGAUGUGACCUGUGUUCCCACUGCUUUAUGCUUACAGAAUCUCUGUCCAUGAAUGGCCCUCCCUCAGGAAAGGUGGGAUCACAGUUUGGUUUAAGAUGAAAUGCUUGAUGAGCCCUCAAGCAAAUAUAAGUAAGCACUUCUUUGCAGUCAUGCAGGCCAGCUCUCAAAGUUCCCCAUGCACAUCUCAUUUGAGGAAGUUUUUCAUUCCCGGCUCUCUCUCCUGACACUGACCUGUCCACCUUUGUACCUCGAACAGUGUCCAGUGUGACCAACCUGGAUAGCAUGUUAAAAAGCAGAGACAUGACUUUGCUGACA